UACAGAGGUCUCAAGCGUUGUUCGGAUUCAUUGGGCGUAAAGGGUGCGUAGGCGGACAGGUAAGUCAGUGGUGAAAUCUCUGGGCUUAACUCAGAAACUGCCGUUGAUACUAUUUGUCUUGAAUGUCAUGGAGGUAAGCGGAAUAUGUCAUGUAGCGGUGAAAUGCUUAGAUAUGACAUAGAACACCGAUAGCGAAGGCAGCUUACUACAUGAAGAUUGACGCUGAGGCACGAAAGCGUGGGGAGCAAACAGG
rnacentral:rRNA from 1 species